rnacentral:rRNA from 1 species
CGCGAACGGCUCAUUAUAACAGCUAUAAUUUACUUGAAUUUGACAACCCUACUUGGAUACCGGUGGUAAUUCUAGCGCUAAUACAUGCACCAAAGCUCCGACCGCGAGGGAAGAGCGCAUUUAUUAGAACAAAACCACACGGCUUCGGCCGUCCAAUGUUGACUCAGAAUAACUAAGCUGAUCGCAUGGUCUUGCACCGGCGACGUUUCUUUCAAGUAUCUGCCUUAUCAACUUUCGAUGGAAGUGUAUCUGACUACCAUGGUGAUGACGGGUAACGGAGGAUAAGGGUUCGACUCCGGAGAAGGGGCCUGAGAAAUGGCCACUACGUCUAAGGAUGGCAGCAGGCGCGCAAAUUACCCACUCUCAGUACGAGGAGGUAGUGACGGGAAAUAACGAGACCGUUCUCACAAGAGGCCGGUCAUUGGAAUGGGUACAAUUUAAACCCUUUAACGAAUAUCUAUGAGAGGGCAAGUCUGGUGCCAGCAGCCGCGGUAAUUCCAGCU